CAUUUCUGAAUUUCUUGUCACUGCAUACUACACUUGCAACUUGAUUUUUAUCGUAUUGAGUUAUGUGAACUCACUUCUCAUCAUUUACAGAUGGAGUAGGAACGGAGCCGGGAUCCGAGCUGCUGGUAAGGGAGCCCAGUCUGUAGUGCCAUAGGGCACAAGUUUUAUUUGUGGCGUAAAGUAGUUUGUAAAAGUUGUCUUAGUAUGGAUAUUGAUUUAUGGAAAUGUAUGAUAUUGUGUUGCCAUGUGAUGUAGAGGUAGAAUUGUAUGUACAUUUGGUUUGGAAUAAUGAGCUGUGGACAAGUUUCUCUUAUGC
rnacentral:lncRNA from 1 species